rnacentral:lncRNA from 1 species
CUCCAAGCAUUUCCUGAGCUUCCUUCCAGGAUGAUGAUAUAAGCAUUUUUGCUAAAUUUAAGUUACUCGCAAGUCACACAAUCCAAUUAGAGAACAAAGCCUAUGCAAAAGAAGCCAUUAGUUUGCAAAGGGAUAAGGCAAAUGAUGAGGCCAUAUAAAAAUUGAGAAGGUCUGUGGAAAGGGGCUAGUGGAUGCCAGGACUCUUGUUUAUGAGGAAGACUCAACCUUAAUUAGUGUAAGGAAAAGAGUUUCUUUAGUUAAACUAUUAGAAGGGUGGGAGUAAAGUUGGCCUCAAGAAUGACUCUGUGUCUUAUCUAGCUUCUCUCUUCUCUCUGCUUCUCAGUUCUAUCCUCUUCUCCUGUAGUUGAUUUUCUCUACAAAGCAGAUUGACUUCCUUCAGUUAGUCUCUGGCAACUAGAAUGGGCUCAUCCACAUAGCACGUGACCAGGAAGGAAAAGGUUCGUCACAGCAGCUCCAGUUCACAAUUCUUAGGGAAGAGAUUGGCCCGUUGGCUAAUCACUGUGAUGAGGAGUGUGCAGAAGUUCCAUAUGCUUCCAGCUUAAUCGAGUAUCAUUCACUGUGGUCAUGGAGAUGGAAUCUUAUUAGAUCGCUUUGGUAACAGCUGAUGGGAGGCAGGAGGUGGGAAAAGAAGGAGUUCCCCAAAAAGGAGAAGAGAGCUGUUCCCAUAAAAAGAGAAGAGUGGAAUGAAAUCCCAGCUAGAAUCAAACCUGCAGGACCAGAGGCAUGAAACCUGAGGAAGAAGAAAUAAAACUUAUAAGAAAAGAAAGGCUAUCAAAGUCAAGGAAGUCAGCAUGAGAUGACGGGUGGCAAUAAAGCAGAACAAAGACAGCCCCUGCUCUCAGAAUCAGGCAGAAGCAAUGUGGCGGCCGUGCAAGCAAAGGCAAGAGUAGGGCUCCAAAGGCACCAAGGGAGCACUCUUGCAUUUCCAUCUUCCACUAGGUUUCCAGAAAUAUCACCAAAUAAAAU